CUCAUUCUCCAUCUCGUUUUCUGCCCUUCUCUCUCUCGUUCUCCCAGUGAGUUUCCCUGUCUCUACCACCACCACCAACGUUAUCAUCAAGAUCAAAACCAAACCUUAUUGUCGUCGUCGUCGAGGAAGAAAGAACUAGGAUGAGAUGAUCAUGUUAGCUAGGCAGGCUCUCUGAACCAUACAAGGGAAUUGAAGAGUGUUUUGGAAGAAUAAUCAAGGAAGAAGGGUUUGGGGCCAUUGCGGAGAGGAAACACAGGCAAUGUCAUAUCUUACUUCCCUACCCAGGCCUUGAAAUUUGCAUAGUUUCAAGAAGGAUAGAGAUGGCUACUGUAAUUUUCUGGUAACUUGGCAUCUGAAUGCGCUGCUGGUGCUUCUUCAGAUGAAGUUAGUGGUGGACUUGAAAAAAGGCUGAGGUGGGGAACAAAUUUUUUAGCAAGAAAUCAAUGUUGUUCUUACUUCAUCUGAUCAAUGGUGAGUUCUUGUUUCAUUGAUUAAAUAUGUUUUUGGAUCUCCAUAGUCUCAGCAAGAACUCUCUAUUGCUCCUCCUGGUUCAACCGUCUCUUAUUGAGGUUGAGCUUGUAUCUUUCAUUGAGGGUAUCGAAUCGUGAGACAUGGACAAUGGUGAGAAGAUUGUAGCUGCUGUCAAAAAGAAGAAAAAAAGGUAGUGCAAGAUAUAUGAGACCAAUUAUUAAAGUAUAAUGAUCCAGGGAAAGUAGUUGAGUGUGACCAAGUAUUUCUUUUCUUGUUUGUAAGAUUAGGCUGCAAAAUUUGUUGAGUACAAUUCUCCAUUAAGUGAAGAGCAGAAAAAGAAGGCUAAGACUCUUAAGGUCAUCUGCAACCUUAACAACGCUAAGACUCUUAAGGAGGCUAAGAAGCUUUGCACACAGGUCUCAACUUUACACCUUCUUCUGAAGAUUCUGAAAUUUUAGUUAUAUUAAGUGUAUGUUUUAGCUUUUUUGCUAUUGAGGUUGAAUUUUUGUAAUUUUAUCUUUAGUUUUAUUCUAAACUUCUUUCGGA